AGCGAACGCUGGCGGCAGGCUUAACACAUGCAAGUCGAGCGGGCGUAGCAAUACGUCAGCGGCAGACGGGUGAGUAACGCGUGGGAACGUGCCCUUUGGUUCGGAACAACACAGGGAAACUUGUGCUAAUACCGGAUAAGCCCUUCCGGGGCAAGAUUUAUCGCCGCAGGAUCGGCCCGCGUCUGAUUAGCUUGUUGGGAAGGUAACGGCUCAUCAAGGCAACGACCAGUAGAUUGUCUGAGAGGAUGAUCAGCCACACUGGGACUGAGACGCGGCCCAGACUUCUGCGGGAGGCAGCAGUGGGGAAUAUUGGAAAAUGGGGGCAACCCUGAUCCAGCCAUGCCGCGUGAGUGAUGAAGGAGAUAGGGUUGUAAAGCUCUUUCAGCGGGGAAGAUAAUGACGGUACCCGCAUAAGAAGCCCCGGCUAACUUCGUGCCAGCCGCCGCCGUAAGAC
rnacentral:rRNA from 1 species